rnacentral:tRNA from 1 species
GAACUGAAAGCUAACAAUCUAAGCAAUGGUCUUGUAAAUCAUAGAUAGAAUUAAUAUUCUCAGUUCU